UUAUAUUGGCGGCAAUAAAUCUAAUUAAAGGAACUUGUUUAAUAAUCGAUAAUUCACGUUUAAUUUUACUUAAAUUAAAAAUUUAUAUACCGCCAUUUCAGAGUUUAUUUUUGUAAAUAAUUCAAAAUAAUAAAUAAAAAAAUAGGUCAAGGUGUAAUCUAUAUUUUAGAAUAAAUGAGUUACAUUAAAAAUUAUUUAAGGAACAAUUAAUUAUAAUUAAUUAUAAAAAAGAAUUUAUAUGUAAUAUUAUAAUAAAAUUUCAAUAUGAAUUAGAUAAUAAUUGUGCACACAUC
rnacentral:rRNA from 1 species